UACAGAGGUCUCAAACGUUGUUCGGAUUCAUUGGGCGUAAAGGGUGCGUAGGUGGCGCGCUAAGUCAGGUGUGAAAUUUCGGAGCUUAACUCCGAAACUGCAUUUGAUACUGGCGUGCUUGAGGACUGGAGAGGAGACUGGAAUUCAUGGUGUAGCAGUGAAAUGCGUAGAGAUCAUGAGGAAGACCAGUGGCGAAGGCGGGUCUCUGGACAGUUCCUGACACUGAGACACGAAGGCCAGGGGAGCAAACGGG
rnacentral:rRNA from 1 species